UUCUCUGUUUUUGCGCAGCGCCCUCAUUCUGCCAACAAAUCGCAGAGGAGCACCACCCACCGGGCUACCGAUGAUUGGCCAAACCGGCCGUCAAACAGAACGUCACGCGGCAGCCGGGCGGGGCGGGACAGAACUCUCGCCCGGGCGGCCUGGGUGAGUGUGAGUGUGAGAGCGAGAACAGCCCCGCAGGUCCCGAGGCGCUGGCUGGGGACACUGCCUCGGAAAGUUCCCAGUCCCCAGCCGCAGAUCUGCAAGAAAUGAAAUGUUUUGAGGUCUUCAAGCUGACUCGUCAGAAUCCUGGAGCCUUUUAAAAAAUGACGAAUUGGAAGAAAAAAUUAAUUUAUCAAUAACCAGGCUCCACCAGGAUUGAACUAGAUGGUUGUUCCUGGCACUUGUCAUUCCCAGCAAGCACAGCACAGAGAGCAAAUACAAAAGGCCUAAAGUGCAUUGCAUCUUUUAUGGGUCUACUCCCUAAGGCAAAAAACAAAACAAAGCAAAACAAAACAGAAGUUUCUGAAGGACAGCAGAAAUGGGAAGUUCUUUCCAUGAUGCAAGACACUAAAUGGAAAGUGACCUUCUUUUGGGAGAUACACCUAGGUAGCCUAAUCAUGUGAAACCACUGAUAGUAGCAACAGAUGAAGAUGCUGGAAGGGGAAACUGAGGCUUGAGGCUUGUCCAACAAUUUUGGACAUGUCUAUUAUUAAAAUAUUUUUGCAGUUUGCACAAUGAAUGCAAAUGAUGAACUAAAGAGAAGUUGAGACAAACCCUGCAAGAAACUUGAAAG